UACGUAGGGGGCAAGCGUUGUCCGGAAUCAUUGGGCGUAAAGCGCGUGUAGGCGGCCAGGUAAGUCCGUUCUGAAAGCCCGGGGCUCAACCCCGGGAGGCGGAUGGAUACUGCUUGGCUCGAGUCCGGAAGAGGCGAGUGGAAUUCCCGGUGUAGCGGUGAAAUGCGCAGAUAUCGGGAGGAACACCGGUGGCGAAGGCGGGUCUCUGGGCCGAAACUGACGCUGAGGAGCGAAAGCGUGGGGAGCAAACAGG
rnacentral:rRNA from 1 species